rnacentral:lncRNA from 1 species
AGAAUACUUGCAUUAUGUAAUAAUUCACUUUUGACCUUGUCAUAAAAAUUGAAAGACAGAAGAAACAUAAAUGAUAAAUCAAAUUUUGAAGUAAAUUACAAAAGUACAAAGUAUUAUGACGUAAAAAUAAAAUUAUAUGUUCAGAGAUAACAUGAUUAAUUUUAAACUUAAAAGAUCCAGACCUCACAAAAACCAUCAACACACUUCAUAAAUAUAGGUGGAAUCACAUCUGGACAAUCAUCGUCAACCUUGCAUUCAAAGGGAGCUGCAUUAUCAAAUAAGAAAAAUAGAAUAUUAUUACUCAAAGUUGAUAUAAUUAUUGUGUACAAAAUAAAUUUGAAAACGGUGUAAAAAAAUGACUUACUUUUACCGGUUACAAGAAAAAGAGAAAGAAAGAUGAUCAAGGCAUAAACAAACAUAAGAAAUUGAGUCAUAUUGAGUCAUGUUUUUCCUACUUUACUAUUAAUUAAUAUAAAUAAUAGUUUCAAGCUUUGUUAACUUCAAUUAAAUAGAUUCUAGCCCUUCAGAGUUGCAAGAAGCA